UUAAGUUUCGACGUGCCGCGC
rnacentral:siRNA from 1 species